AUUGAACGCUGGCGGCAGGCCUAACACAUGCAAGUCGAGCGGAGCGGCGGACGGGUGAGUAAUGCCUAGGAAUCUGCCUGGUAGUGGGGGAUAACGUCCGGAAACGGGCGCUAAUACCGCAUACUAUCAGAUGAGCCUAGGUCGGAUUAGCUAGUUGGUGGGGUAAAGGCCUACCACGGCGAUGAUCCGUAACUGGGAUGAGAGGAUGAUCAGUCACGCGGGGACUGAGACACGUGGUAGACUCCGACGUGAGGCAGAAGGGGGGAAUAGUGGACAAUGGGCGAAGGCCUGACCCAGCCAUGCCGGUUGGGUGAAGAAGGUCUUCGGCUUGUAAAGCAUUGUAAGUGGGGAGGCGGUACCAGCAGAAUACGGACCGGCUAACUUCGUGACAGCAGCCGCGGUAAUAC
rnacentral:rRNA from 1 species